UUCAGGCGGGGUUUCAUGCCGAACCUGCAUAACCAAGAUUGGAUCUCGAGUAUUGUUGCAUAUAGCGAUCAGAAGCCUCUAGUUCAAGUGAUACGAUGACUGUGUCGUGCGGGACUUGAAACCAGGUGUAAUAAAACGCCUCGAGCUGCCAUUACGAGUAAGAUAACACAUCAAGGACGCCCACACCUGCAACAGACUCGUCGGAAGGUCAUCAGAUGCUGAGGAGAAAGAUAAGAAGGUUGGUAGAUAUGAGUGGCUGUGCGGACAUCGAGGACACCAAGUCAGG